AUUGAACGCUGGCGGCAUGCUUUACACAUGCAAGUCGAACGGCAGCGCGGGCUUCGGCCUGGCGGCGAGUGGCGAACGGGUGAGUAAUGCAUCGGAACGUGCCCAGUAGUGGGGGAUAGCGCGGCGAAAGCCGGAUUAAUACCGCAUACGACCUGAGGGUGAAAGCGGGGGACCGAAAGGCCUCGCGCUAUUGGAGCGGCCGAUGUCGGAUUAGCUAGUUGGUGGGGUAAAGGCUUACCAAGGCGACGAUCCGUAGCUGGUCUGAGAGGACGACCAGCCACACUGGGACUGAGACACGGCCCAGACUCCUACGGGAGGCAGCAGUGGGGAAUUUUGGACAAUGGGGGCAAGCCUGAUCCAGCCAUGCCGCGUGCGGGAAGAAGGCCUUCGGGUUGUAAAGCGCUUUUGUUCGGGAAGAAAUGCUUUAAGCUAAUACCCCGGGGGGAUGACGGUACCGGAAGAAUAAGCACCGGCUAACUACGUG
rnacentral:rRNA from 1 species